rnacentral:rRNA from 1 species
GACGAACGCUGGCGGCGUGCUUAACACAUGCAAGUCGAACGGAAAGGCCCUGCUUUUGUGGGGUGCUCGAGUGGCGAACGGGUGAGUAACACGUGAGUAACCUGCCCUUGACUUUGGGAUAACUUCAGGAAACUGGGGCUAAUACCGGAUAGGAGCUCCUGCUGCAUGGUGGGGGUUGGAAAGUUUCGGCGGUUGGGGAUGGACUCGCGGCUUAUCAGCUUGUUGGUGGGGUAGUGGCUUACCAAGGCUUUGACGGGUAGCCGGCCUGAGAGGGUGACCGGCCCCACUGGGGGUGAGAUACAGGCCAGACUCCACUGGGGGGGAGAAGUGGGGAAUAUUGCACAAUGGGCGGAAGACUGAUGCAGCAACGCCGCGUGCGGGAUGACGGCCUUCGGGUUGUAAACCGCUUUCGCCUGUGACGAAGCGUGAGUGACGGUAAUGGGUAAAGAAGCACCGGCUAACUACGUG